GACAGAGGGGGCAAGCGUUGCUCGGAAUUACUGGGCGUAAAGGGCGCGUAGGCGGGAUGGCAAGUCGGUCGUGAAAUCCUUCGGCUCAACCGAAGAACGUCGAUCGAUACUGCUGUUCUUGAGGGUUGCAGAGGAGACUGGAAUUCCCGGUGUAGCGGUGAAAUGUGUAGAGAUCGGGAGGAACACCGGUGGCGAAGGCGGGUCUCUGGGCAGUUCCUGACGCUGAGGCGCGAAAGCGUGGGGAGCAAACGGG
rnacentral:rRNA from 1 species